GUCUGAGGUGGUUGUUGCCACUGAGCUAUAGGUUAAAAAGCAAAGAGCAAAAUGUUAGCCCUCCUGAGCUGUGCAGCAAAGCGCACCAGACACACAAUCAACCUCUGUACAGGAGAUGCUAAUUUCUGGGCAGCAGAAAACCAUUAUAUCAAAGGUAUCUGAAAGACGGUGAAAUGUACUUUGACAGAGCAUUUCUUGUCUUGAUGUGGAUCGUUACUAUUGAGGACAAACUAUAAACGAAAGAAAGAGAGACCAAGUGCUCAGCGUGGGAGCUCAGCACCAAGAUAUUACCUGCAACAACGAGCUCCAGGCUGAAUGUAUUUUCACCGGCUCGAUUGC